GACAGAGGGGGCAAGCGUUGUUCGGAUUUACUGGGCGUAAAGGGCGCGUAGGCGGCCUCUGCAAGUCGACUGUGAAAUCUCCGGGCUUAACCCGGAACGGUCAGCCGAUACUGCAGGGCUAGAGUGCAGAAGGGGCAACUGGAAUUCUCGGUGUAGCGGUGAAAUGCGUAGAUAUCUGGAGGAACACCGGUGGCGAAGGCGGCGUUCUGGACUGUUUCUGACACUGAAUAACGAAAGCCAGGGGAGCAAACGGG
rnacentral:rRNA from 1 species